rnacentral:rRNA from 1 species
UGUGGUUUAAUUCGAAGCAACGCGAAGAACCUUACCAGGUCUUGACAUCCCCUGACAACCCAAGAGAUUGGGCGUUCCCCCUUCGGGGGGACAGGGUGACAGGUGGUGCAUGGUUGUCGUCAGCUCGUGUCGUGAGAUGUUGGGUUAAGUCCCGCAACGAGCGCAACCCUCGCCUCUAGUUGCCAGCAUUCGGUUGGGCACUCUAGAGGGACUGCCGGCGACAAGUCGGAGGAAGGUGGGGAUGACGUCAAAUCAUCAUGCCCCUUAUGACCUGGGCUACACACGUGCUACAAUGGGCGGUACAAAGGGCUGCGAACCCGCGAGGGGGAGCGAAUCCCAAAAAGCCGCUCUCAGUUCGGAUUGCAGGCUGCAACUCGCCUGCAUGAAGCCGGAAUCGCUAGUAAUCGCGGAUCAGCAUGCCGCGGUGAAUACGUUCCCGGGCCUUGUACACACCGCCCGUCACACCACGAGAGCUUGCAACACCCGAAGUCGGUGAGGUAACCC